GAGCCCUCGGCUCUGCUGUUACCAUCCAUUUCCCCAGGCUUCCUGUAAUAUGCUGCUGCCCACUGGGGCAUCCAGAGAAGACGACGUGAGGAGAAGCAGACGAGCAGAUGGCUGCUUCCAUCUCUACCUCUUCCCCCUGAGCCUGUAGCACCUCAGCUGGGCAGCCAGUCUACCCUGUUUGAAAGCUGCUCCAUCCUCCUGAUCAUCUUGGUUGCCCUUCCCUAGUUCUCUUCCAGACUUUCCAAAGAUGCACUGACCAGGAAUGCAGGCACUUCUCCUCGUUUUCAAGCAAAUCUCAGUCCCUUUUUACCUACAGUUCAAUCAGGAGUUCCACAUGCAUUUCCUGUUGACUUCACAUUAGGAAAAAUCAAUAAAGUGGUCAGACUUGCUUUUAAUCCCAUUUUAGUAUGUUGUAUUAAGAAACAAAGCUGAAAACCUAGCCUCCUUUAAUAUAACCUGGUAAUAUUCUAAAAAUGUUGUGGCUCAGCUUAACAGUUUUUCUCUCAUGGAAAACCAAAUGGUUCUUCCAUUAGUACAACCAAUAAAUGGUCUGUGUAUAAAUGUGCAUUAUAAGUGGUUACACUGUUUGAAAAUAUCUUUAGAAUAAAAUAAAGGGAGAACUUUG